rnacentral:rRNA from 1 species
CUACGGGUGGCUCCAGUGGGGAAUAUUGGACAAUGGGGGAAACCCUGAUCCAGCAAUGCCGCGUGUGUGAAGAAGGCCUGCGGGUUGUAAAGCACUUUCGGUUGGGAGGACUGCUUCUAGCACUAAUAUUGUUGGAAGUUGACGUUACCUUCAGAAGAAGCACCGGCUAACUCCGUGCCAGCAGCCGCGGUAAUACGGAGGGUGCGAAGCGUUAACCGGAAUUACUGGGCGUAAAGCGCGCGUAGGCGGCUAGAUCAGUCGGGGGUGAAAGCCCCGGGCUUAACCUGGGAACUGCAUCCGAUACUGUCUAGCUUGAGUACAGGAGAGGAGAGUGGAAUUCCACAUGUAGCGGUGAAAUGCGUAGAUAUGUGGAGGAACACCAAUGGCGAAGGCAGCUCUCUGGCCUGAUACUGACGCUGAGGUGCGAAAGCGUGGGGAGCAAACAGGAUUAGAUACCCGCGUAGUC